CGCAGCCGCGGUAAUUCCAGCUCCAAUAGCGUAUAUUAAAGUUGUUGCAGUUAAAAAGCUCGUAGUUGAAUUUCGGAAUCUGUCCGUUGGUCGGGCUUCAUUGUCCGUACUGAUGUGAUGGGUUCUUACCUUCUGAAUAACCAGCAUGUCAUUAAUUUGGUGUGUUGGGGAAGCAGGACUAUUACCUUGAAAAAAUUAGAGUGCUCAAAGCAGGCUAGUGCCUGAAUACAUUAGCAUGGAAUAAUAAAAUAGGACGGCAUGGUUCUAUUUUGUUGGUUUCUAGGAUUACCGUAAUGAUUAAUAGGGAUAGUUGGGGGCAUUAGUAUUCAAUUGUCAGAGGUGAAAUUCUUGGAUUUAUUGAAGACUAACUUCUGCGAAAGCAUUUGCCAAGGAUGUUUUCAUUAAUCAAGAACGAAAGUUAGGGGAUCGAAGACGAUCAGAUACCGUCGUAGUCUUAACCAUAAACUAUGCCGACUAGGGAUCGGACGAUGUUAAUUUUAUAAUGACUCGUUCGGCGUCC
rnacentral:rRNA from 1 species